rnacentral:rRNA from 1 species
AGAGGUAAACGGGUGGAGUUGAACUGCAUGCUCCGUGAAUUCAGCUGGUGAGAUUGUUGUUGGGCUUGGUCAAGUGGGGUAGACACUGAGGUAUGCUUAGCUGCAUGUCCCGGCCUGCAGGUUGGGAUGCGCGAUACGCUCAUCAUGCGUUGCGCGCCUCUGUUGUUUAUCUGCCCUCUCGCCAGUGCAUUUUCGCGGGGUGAUCACCAAGAUCGGCGUUGCUGUCCGGCUGCUUCAGUUAAACCGGUCUUACGCGUCCUUGUGGCGUUGUAUGGUCGGGACGGCAGGUAGCCUGUUAGCUUGCUCUGCUUGCUUUCGGGUAUAAUCAGCUGACUGAAGUGGUCCUGUGCAGUGCGUCGGAGCUGGCGGCCAGUUGUGCAUGCUCGUGUGUCAUGCCUUCCAAAGGAUCCUGUUUUGAUCGCUAUGUUGCCCGUUUCGGUGGGUCUAGCGAUAGACGGGGUUCUAUUGGUUGGUGGUUCCGCGGGUAGCACUUUACAGGGCCAAAAGUCUUUGGUGUCGUGGUAGACUAUCCACCUGACCCGUCUUGAAACACGGACCAAGGAGAGUAACAUGUGCGCGAGUCAUUGGGUGUAACGAAACCCAAAGGCGCAGUGAAAGUAAAGGGCUGACUUGUUCAGUCUGAGGUGAGAUCCUGUCGUUUCUCAUGCGUGGUACCACCAAGCUUGGAGCGACAGGCGCAUCACCGGCCCGUCCCAUGAUGUAGACACGGUCUUCGUACUCGUGCACCGUCGGGGCGGAGCAUGAGCGCACACGUUGAGACCCGAAAGAUGGUGAACUAUGCUUGCGCAGGUUGAAGCCAGAGGAAACUCUGGUGGAGGACCGCAGCGAUUCUGACGUGCAAAUCGAUCGUCAAACGUGAGUAUAGGGG